rnacentral:lncRNA from 1 species
AACAAAUUCUUUAUUUUCUAGUUUAACUUUGAGUUAGACUAUAGUGCAAAAUUUAUACAGAGAAAAAAAAAAAGUUAAAGAUUGGAUUUAUUUAUUUAAAAUAAGAUUUUCCCUAACUACGCAAUGACAUAGUGUUAAUAUUACACCCAGGUUAGUGGAGCAUUCCCCGUGUGGAGUUCUUACAUCCUAUGAAGAAAGUGGAGAAAGAUGAUUGAUGAGUCACUGUGAUGGUAGUGGCAGUGCUGUGAAAUCUGAUAUUUGUCCUAAGGUCAGGAGUGUGGAAGGAGCAGGGGUUCUGAUUACAACUGAUCUGCAUCUUCGGAGAUAUUAGCAUCCAGAACUAAACAAAAGAAUAAGCGCUCAUAAGAAAACUGAAGGUAAGCUAUGCUAAAUUCAAUGUACCUCUCUUUAACACUCCUUGUCUUUACAAGUCCAAAAUCUCCCUCCAGAAUGAAAACUAGAUUCUUUUCUAGUUGUCU